rnacentral:lncRNA from 10 species
GGGAAGGGAAGUGAGGGGUAGAGGAAGGCGGGUCCCUGGCUCGGCUCUACCCCCAUGGAUCUAGGUGGGCUCAAUGUCAUCACAAGGGUGCUUAAGAGGGAAAGAGGAAGCCAUGAGGGUCAGAGUCAAAGGAAGACUUGAAGAUACUACACUGCGGACUUUAAAGAUGAAGGAAGGGGCGAAAACCAAGAAUGUGGGAAGCCUCUAGAAGCUAGAGAAGGCAAGGAAACAAAUUUUCCACUAGAGCCUCCAGAAGGAACACAGCCCUGCUGACCCACUGUAAUGUCUGACCUCUAGAUGUGUAAGGGUAGUAAGACUGAAAGUCUCAGAAAGGCACUGUUAAAUUCUUAUUCCUCAACUAUGCAACUCAAAACUGGGGUCCUCAGCAGUGAGCGAGGGGUGAGAGAAGACACUGUAUAAACAUGGCACAUCCUCCUGGAAAGUCAACUUUACUCAAAGAUGGAAGGACAUUGCUGGCCACCUUAAGAGACUAGAUUAAGCAACCAGUUCUGAUGGGUGAUCAUCUUGCUUCACUUUCUACAAAUAUAACCAGAUAGCUAAGAACAAAUAGCUAAUAUUUUCAAAAGAUAACUACAGCUGUUGAGUCCUGACCAUAUGCCACACAUGCUAUUAGGUGAUUCUACAUCAUUAUCUCACUUAUGUCUGACAUCAGUAUCCUGAGGUGGUUAUUAAUGGCCUCAUUUUUCAAAUAAGGAAACUGAGGCUCGGGAAUUUUAAAUGAACUCCAUAGGUCUGUAAGUGGUGGAAGUGAAUUUUAAGCAUGUGUUUGUCUAACACCAAAACCCAAUGCAAAAACAAUGAAAAUAAAUAAUCCAAUUCAAAAAUGGG